rnacentral:rRNA from 1 species
GAUACCCCAGGUCAGGCGGGGCCACCCGCCGAGUUUAAGCAUAUCAAUAA